GUUAUUUUUCUUUGUUUGCCUGUUUGUGCUUCUGACAGAGUUUUUGCUUGGAGCAGUUUUGCUUCGGUUUUUCUUUUAACUACAACCCACUUACGAAUCGGUGGAUCUCACCCGUUUCUCGUUGCGAAAUGCGAGUUGGAAUCUUUUAGCUGCGAGCAAGGCUGACCCGACCACGAAGGACCCGGGCAAUAAAAAGCCUCCAUCGUCGUCGCCACCUGCAAUCCUUCAUGAUGAUCCGCCAGCAGCCGAAUAUUCUUUGAGCGGAAAAGAACACCUAGAAGCAUUAUCACACAAACUUUGUGCUCGAGAAAACCCACCCGCGUUGCUGAAAAAACCUUCGUAAUGUGUAUUCGCGGUAUCAUCAAGGUCGCCCCAAAGUGCUUCAGCUGUUUCGUCCGCGUAAGAUCAACAACGGCAUUCUUUCAAGCUAACACCACGAACACGCUGAAACCCCGACUUCCGGUCUUCGUCGCUGUUAGCUGCUUCGGUGGAGGUAAUGGAGUUUUGUUUGCUCGGGUCAGCCAGUGUAUGUUAACCGACAGACCCCGACAGCAGACUUGAUUUUCACGACCCUCGACCCUCACGCCUCACGCCUCGACUAAACAUGCGAAACCGAUUAACCGUAUUGGUAUGGUAUCACUUCAUCCGGAAAACCCGAGUAUGUUGUCGGGUGUGGUGAACAACGAUCGAAGAAACGUCUCAUAUUUAUGAAUCGAAAGCGGAUCACCAUUUGAAGAACACAUCAUAUACUAGUCCUAGUGCAAAGCGGGUAAUCAUUGAUACGGAUCUUUUCGAGCAAAUCGAAACGGCUUAACAGGUCUGGUGCCAACGAAUGAAGGAAAGGGACGUCGGCGCUAUCGAUUACGUCAUGAUCACCACCAUUGGCGAUAUUGUGUGAUAUGGUCCUUCGACCGGUUUAUUGAUUACGGAAACAGAUUUUAUGUAGCAAAUUGCAAGUUCGAAUCUCGGUUCCAAUGCAACUCACUGAUUGGAUAAUUUUGAAUAACGAUAGUUGAAGACUAAUUAAUAUGGAGUAGGAAGCAGGAAGUGAUCGAAACAGAAGACUGAAAUGAAGCAAAACAAAAUAAAAUCUGAAACAAAAAGUUAAAAAACUGAAGUAAAAUUGAAAAUUGCUUAGAUCUUCUUAGUGGAACGUCUUCACUUGUCAUAAAACGAGUUAGUUCUAUCCCUUUCAAAUCCAACACCAGAUUGUAACUUUUAAGAUACCUAUUUCGACUUCAACAGUGAGGCUGUCUUUAGUGUCUCGGACUUGACUCGAUUUAAGACAGCCCUACUGUUGAGGACGAAAUACGCCUUUGUAAAGCUACAAUUAACUGGGGAAAUUGAAUAGGACAGAACUAACUCGUCCUAUGACAAGUUAUUAAUAGUUAUAUAUCUUCUUUUUCUUCUUAUUGGCAUUACAUCCCUUACUUGGUCAUUGCCGCCUCGCUGCUAACUGUUCAUCCUGCACUUUUACAGUUAUUAACCGUGAAAUUUCUAAGCCAAGUUACCAUUUUUGCAUUCGUAUAUCAUGAGGCUAACACGAUGAUACUUUUAAUGCCCAGGAAAGGCGAGACAGUUUUAAAAUCAAUAAUUGCCUAAACCGGAACCGGGAAUUGAAUCUAGUCACCCUCAGCAUGGUUUUGCUUUAAAGUCGCGAACCUUACAGCUAUGUUAUGAAAGGCCCGCUCAAAAGGUUAAGAGGUUAUAUAAAUAAUAAAUUUGUUGGCGAAGAUUGC